rnacentral:rRNA from 1 species
AGAGUUUGAUCCUGGCUCAGAUUGAACGCUGGCGGCAUGCCUUACACAUGCAAGUCGAACGGCAGCACGGGAGCUUGCUCCUGGUGGCGAGUGGCGAACGGGUGAUUAAUACAUCGGAACGUACCCAGUACUGGGGGAUAACGCACCGAAUGGUGCGCUAAUACCGCAUACGACCUAAGGGUGAAAGCGGGGGACCGUAAGGCCUCGCGCUAUUGGAGCGGCCGAUGUCUGAUUAGCUAGUUGGUGAGGUAAAGGCUCACCAAGGCUUCCAUCAUUAGCUGGUCUGAGAGGACGAUCAGCCACUCUGGGACUGAGACACGGCCCACACUCCUACGGGAGGCAGCACUGGGGAAUUUUGGACAAUGGGCGAAAGCCUGAUCCAGCAAUGCCGCGUGUGCGAAGAAGGCCUUCGGGUUGUAAAGCACUUUUGUCAGGGAAGAAAUCUUUUAUGCUAAUACCUUGGAAGGAUGACGGUACCUGAAGAAUAAGCACCGGCUAACUACGUGCCAGCAGCCGCGGUAAUACGUAGGGUGCAAGCGUUAAUCGGAAUUACUGGGCGUAAAGCGUGCGCAGGCGGUUUGUUAAGACAGUCGUGAAAUCCCCGGGCUUAACCUGGGAACUGCGAUUGUGACUGGCAAGCUAGAGUACGGCAGAGGGGGGUGGAAUUCCUGGUGUAGCAGUGAAAUGCGUAGAGAUCAUGAGGAACACCGAUGGCGAACGCAGCCCCCUGGGCUAGUACUGACGCUCAUGCACGAAAGCGUGGGGAGCAAACAUGAUUAAAUACCCUGGUAGUCCACGCCCUAAACGAUGUCAAUUAGUUGUUGGUUCUUUAUUGAAUCAGUAACGUAGCUAACGCGUGAAAUUGACCGCCUGGGGAGUACUGUCGCAGAUUAAAACUCAAAGGAAUUGACGG